GAUGAACGCUGGCGGCGUGCCUAAUACAUGCAAGUCGAGCGAACGGACGAGAAGCUUGCUUCUCUGAUGUUAGCGGCGGACGGGUGAGUCACACGUGGAUAACCUACCUAUAAGACUGGGAUAACUUCGGGAAACCGGAGCUACUACCGGAUAAUAUUUUGAACCGCAUGGUUCAAAAGUGAAAGACGGUCUUGCUGUCACUUAUAGAUGGAUCCGCGCUGCAUUAGCUAGUUGGUAAGGUAACGGCUUACCAAGGCAACGAUGCAUAGCCGACCUGAGAGGGUGAUCGGCCACACUGGAACUGAGACACGGUCCAGACUCCUACGGGAGGCAGCAGUAGGGAAUCUUCCGCAAUGGGCGAAAGCCUGACGGAGCAACGCCGCGUGAGUGAUGAAGGUCUUCGGAUCGUAAAACUCUGUUAUUAGGGAAGAACAUAUGUGUAAGUAACUGUGCACAUCUUGACGGUACCUAAUCAGAAAGCCACGGCUAACUACGUG
rnacentral:rRNA from 1 species